UUUGAUCAAUAGAAUUGAAGCUUUAGAAUUCAAAAGACAUAUCCAAUUUAAUCAAGUGCUAGCACCCAUAUGCAUUGGAUGUGAUGCACCAGAUCAUGUUGUGGAGGAGUAUCCUUAUUUGAUGAACCCAACCCAAACUGAGCUCAUACAGGAGAGUGCUUCAAUGAAAGCUACAUAAAUAAACCUUAUGCACCAAUCUAUAACCCA
rnacentral:lncRNA from 1 species